GAGGUGGAGGUGGGUGGAUAAUGAGUUCAAGAGAUUGAGACAAUCCUGGCCAACAUGGUGAAACCCCCUCUCUACUAAAAAUACAAAAAUUAUCUGGGCAUGGUGGCACACAACUGUAGCCUCAGCUACUCAGGAGGAUGGGGCAGGAGAAUUGCUUCAACCUGGGAGGCAGAAGUUGCAGUGAGCAGAGAUUACACCACUGCCCUCCAGCCUGGUGACAAAGCAAGACUCUGUCUAAAAAAAGAAAAAAACAACAAAGAAAGAAACUUCGAGGGAGUUCAUUCACCCCCUUCCACCAGGCGAGGAUACAGGGUUAAGGUGCUAACUGUGAACAAGGAAGCAGACACCUACCAUACACUGCCAUACACUGAAUCUGAUGACGCUUUGAACUCGGACUUCCCAGCCUCCAGAAUUGUGAGGAAGAAAUUUCUGUUGUUGUCAAGCUGCCCAGUCUAUGGCAUUUUGUAACAGAAGCCUGAGCAGAUGGAGACAUCCUCCCUCUAGAUCUACUUCUUCUGCAGUCUUUCCCAUCUCGGCACAAGCAGGUCCAGCCUUCCAGGUGCUCAGGAUCUACACCUGGGUGUCUUCUUUCUCAUAUUCCUUCCUUUCUCUCAUACACCACAUCCAGUCCAUCUGGAAAUUGUGUAGGCUCCAUCUUCAGAAUAUAUCCCGAGUCCAGUGACUUCUCACCACCUCCACUGCUCCCAUUCUGGGCCAAGCUACUAUCAUCUCUCACCUGGUUUUUGCAGCAACCCCUCUCUAGUCUCUCACCUCCUGUCCUCCACCCAUCACCCCCAUCCUGACCUCUUUGCCUUGUCAGAGCAUUCUGUGUGAUAUAUUUAUACACAAAACAGACUUGUGAUUCCUCUGCUCAAAAUGUUCCACUGAGUUCACAUCUCAACCUGAAGGAAAGGUGAUAGGGGAGAGGAAGAGAGGAAUGGGCAACAGUUUGGAGAACCAGCUCCUAUGCCAACUUCAUCCCUGGCUUUGGAAAAGUGGGCAUCCGUCUUCAUCACCCAUUUUCCUCUUGAUAUGGUUUGGCUCUGUGUCCCCAUCCAAAUCUCAUUUUGAGUUGUAAUCCCCACAUGUCAAGGGAGGGCGCUGGUAGGAGGUGAUCGGAUCAUGGGGGCUGUUUCCCCCAUGCUGUUCUUGUGAUAGUAAGUGAGUGCUUAUGAGAUCUGAUGGUUUAAAAAUAUGACACCUCCCCCUUCUCUCUCUCUCUCUCUCUCUCUCCUGCCUUCAUAUAAGGUGUGCCUUGCUUUCCCAUCACCUUCCACCAGGAUUGUAAGUCUCCUGAGGCCUCCUCAGCCAUGUGGAAUUACAGGAGUCUACAGACGAGGGAAGCAAGAAGUCCAGUUAGGAGGCUGCUGGCAAACCAGGAGGAGGAGGAUAAGGCUUGACCCAAGAUGACAGUGGCAGAGACCAGGCGUCGCAUUCGGAUUCCAGAUGAACUGGAAGGAAGAACCAACAGGAGUCUCCGACACAUCGAAUCCAGCAUGAGAGAAGGAGGAGAAGCAAGAGUUGGAUGUUUCGCCAUGUUGCCCAAGCUGGCCUCAAAGUCCCAGCCUCAAGUGAUCCUUCUGCCUUGGCCUCCCAAAGUGCUGGGAUAACAGAUGUGAGUCGCCACACCCAGCCUGUCAUAAUACAAUUUUCAAGCCAACUUUUCCCUGGACCAGGGGAGCUGUUGAAGUCUAGACUCCUAGGAAAAUCCUGAUGUCCUGCUUAUAAACAGACAUUCUAUAUGAGCUGAGUUUUUUUUUUCAGAAAGGCUGCCUGCAGCUUUAAAUGGGCUCCCCAGCCUCGAAUUCUGGGAAGUUGGCAGCCAGCUACACUAGGAGUGAGUUAUGAUGUCAGUCUUUCAGAAUUCCUAAUGAACUCCAGAGCAAAAAAUGCUGUUACUCUGCCUCCCCCAAGCCACAUUUCUAGUUGAUUAAUGAGCAAAGGAAUAGAAAAAUCUAUGGCUUUGGAGAAGGAAGAAGAGUGAAAUAAUUUCUGCUUUAAGAAAUCACUGUGCCCCGAUUAUUUUAUUUGUUAAGAAAAGGGAUUUCAUUUUCUAUUUAUUUCCCCCUUUAAGUCUAGAUUCAGACCCCCCUUCCCCCUUCCCAGCCAUAAAAAGCAGGUUUGGCUCUCUCUAUACCCCCCUCCUCUACCUUCAUCCCUGCUUAUUUGAUCCAAGAUAGAAAAUCCAGCUCUGCCCUUUUGGGGGCAGUUGUCUUAGCUCCUUGAGGUCUGGUUAAAAUCCCAUUUAGCAUACAUGAAAUAAAUCUGCAACCCUCCAUUAAAAGUUAUGGCCUCCUUGCUGCAAAGACAUACACCCAGGCGAAAGCUGUGGUUGCUUAUGUUCAGCUCAGCCCUUUUGUAGCCCUGCCCUGGCAUGGGUUGUACAUCCUCCCACUGGCUGGAACAUCCAGGGCAGUUGAUUCUUCAGGGGAAAGUCUCUCUGCACAAUUACCCUGCUCCAUAUCCACACCUUCUGUGAGGCUGCUUAGGCUAAUUAAAAUUCAUGCUUCUUUGGAGAAAUGUCUAUUGAAGUCCUUAGCCAUUUUUUAAUUGGCUUAUCAGGGAUUAUUUUGCUAUAAAGUGGUAGGCGUUUCAUAUAUUUUGGAAAUUAACCCUUAUCAAACACAUAGUUUGCAAAUAUUUUCUCCCAUUCUGCAGGCUGCCUUUUUACUCUGCUGAUUGUUUCCUUUGCUGUGCAGAAGCUGUUUGCUUUGGCAUAGUCAUGUUGUCUAUUUUCGCUUUAGUUGCCCCCCCUUUUGAUGUUGUAUCCAUGACGUCACUGCCAAGACCAGUGUCAUGAAGCUUUCCCCCAUGCUUUCCACUAGGAGCGUUAUAGUUUUAGGUCUUACAUUUAAGUCUUUAAUCUAUUUUGAGGUGAUGUUUGUAAAUGGUGCAAGACAAUGAUAAGGGUCUAAUUUCAUUCUUUUAGGGUUUUCCAUAUAUAAGAUCAUGUCAUUUGCAAAAGGGAAAGUUCAACUUCCUCUUUUCCA